UACGUAGGGUGCAAGCGUUGUCCGGAAUUAUUGGGCGUAAAGAGCUCGUAGGCGGUUCGUCGCGUCGGCUGUGAAAACCCGGAGCUCAACUCCGGGCCUGCAGUCGAUACGGGCGGACUUGGAGUGUUGCAGGGGGAGACUGGAAUUCCUGGUGUAGCGGUGAAAUGCGCAGAUAUCAGGAGGAACACCGGUGGCGAAGGCGGGUCUCUGGGCCGAUAUCGACGCUGAGGAGCGAAAGCGUGGGGAGCGAACAGG
rnacentral:rRNA from 1 species